GCCAUACUAAGGAUCUCGCAGCAACACCUGCAGGUAAAAAGCACAAGCAGUCAAAGUGCUGGUGUGUUCUGGACACUAUGUUUGAAAACUUUUAGGCAAGAAGAGUGCAAGAAGCAGGCAUAACAACUGCAUUUAUUUCCAUAAUUCCCCAUUUGAAUGGCCUUUUCUUUUUGCUUAGACAAUGCCUACACCUAGCCACAGCAGCUCCCUCAUACAGACUCCGCAAGCCAAGAGGCCGUGGAGGCAAAUGCAGGCAGCCAGCACACCUCGAACAGCCACCUUGACUGCGGGUUUGUCACCCUAGUCGCCAAGGAAACAUUUGAGGGAAAGCGACAGGCAAUGUGAACAGCCACUUCUCCAUGUAAACGAUACUCUUUCUCUCGGAUGACUCCUACGCCUCGCCCCGCCAGCACACUUGUGCACAAAAAUGCUGCGGAGGCACGUGCAGGUCAGAGGCAAGAAGCAGUGGCACUGGUGUCGACAUUCACCCAAUUUAUUUCUUUUCCUUACACUGAGGCAGCCAGCACACCUCGAACAGCCACCUUGACUGCGGGUGUGUCAGUAGAUUCCUGUUGUACAUAUGCUCAUUAUAAACUUCAGUAAACUUGAACUUGAUAAUAAACUUGAAGGCAAAUGGGA
rnacentral:lncRNA from 1 species